UGGCGGACGGGUGAGGAAUACAUCGGAAUCUACUCUGUCGUGGGGGAUAACGUAGGGAAACUUACGCUAAUACCGCAUACGACCUACGGGUGAAAGCAGGGGAUCUUCGGACCUUGCGCGAUUGAAUGAGCCGAUGUCGGAUUAGCUAGUUGGCGGGGUAAAGGCCCACCAAGGCACGAUCCGUAGCUGGUCUGAGAGGAUGAUCAGCCACACUGGAACUGAGACACGGUCCAGACUCCUACGGGAGGCAGCAGGC
rnacentral:rRNA from 1 species